rnacentral:misc_RNA from 1 species
CUUCUCAAUGCCAUUGUCAUGGUCUUCUUGGCAUUGGAUGAUAACUCUUCACAGGAAGUCAUUGAUUUAAGAAGCACUGCUGUAAGGCUUGUUUCUCAUCUUGCUCAAGUUUCUUCCUCAGCUGUUCACUUCAAGGAUGUCUUGUUAUCAAUGCCUCCAACACAUAGGCAACAGCUUCAGGGGGUUAUUCGUGCAUCUGUAGCACAAGAUUACAAUGCAAUGCUGAUGAAACCUACAACACCUUUAGAAAUAAAGUUACCAGUGCCAAAAGAUUCCAGACCAUUGGCUGUAUCAUCAUUUCCCGCAGACGAGAUUAAAGAGAAAAAUUCUCCCCCAUCAGCAGCUUCUACUAGUUCUGACAAGGAUAGUGUGGAUGAGGGACAAGAUGAUGAAGAUGACUGGGAUGCUUUCCAGUCUUUCCCUGCCUCUACAGAUACAGCUGGAAAUGAUUCAAAAGUUGAGAGUGUUGCAGAAGAAUCUGGAGUGGCCAAAACUUUUGUUUCGGAAAUCAAAUCUGGAAUUGAUGACAUUCAGGAGUUUUCUACAUCACAGCCUAUAAACAAAGAUGAUAUGGAAGUAACAGAGCAUCAAGAAGCUGGUGAAAUGGAAGUAAUUUCUGAUAGCUCGGGAGAUGAAAAUAAGAUGGAAGGAAACCAUGAUGUCUCUGCACAACUAAAUGAUCAACCUAAAAGAGAAGAGAAACUGGUGCGAAGCCAAGAGAGUGAAGAAGGAGCAGAAUCAAGCCAAGGAAAUAUGAAGAUCUCAUCUGAUCUUCAAUCUGUUGCAGAUGCAGAAGGAUUGAUUCAAGUGAAUGUAGGGGAGGAGUAUGAACAGUUAAAGGGGAGCCAAGGAAAUGAUAUUGAUCUUCUAGUAUCAUCAGGUGAUCUUCAACCAGUUGAAGAAAGAGGAUCAGUUGAAGUCAGUCUAGCUGAGGGCCAUAAUAAAAAUGAUAUUCCAGCAACAUCUGACAGUUUGCCUCCUGAAAAACCUUUUGAUAGAGAAAGCCAAUGAAAACAGACAAUGAAGCCUGCAGAAAAACUUUGUGGAGCAGUUUUUAUACUCAAAUUGAAGGAUGAAAAUAAAAAUAAUGACCGGCAUCAAGAGAGAGGUGAUUAUCUGGAAUUAUCAAAUGCUCAAGAAAAUUAGUAAAACAUACAGUAAUUUCCACAUAGAACAGCAUAUAUAAAAAGCUGAUGAGGACGAUGUGAACAGAACAAUGGUUGUAAACAAGUCAGCGACAGAGUGUUGACCAUUUGGAAUUUGCCAAAGUGCCUAGAGUCACUCAGUUGGACAGAUGAUUUGUGUAAUAUGUUGUUAAUGAUGGGGGGUUUGUUAUAAACUAGGUCUAAAAGGGCGAUUGAUUGUUAUCCAAUUAGUUUGUGCUUGAAUUGUCUAGAUAUGUCAGUUCGAUUCACGUGCUAUUCUUCAGACCAAUUUUUAUCUAUUCACUC